rnacentral:misc_RNA from 1 species
UGCUACAUCUACAUCUUGGGUUUGAUUGGUUUCCAACGUUACAAAUGAAACCUUCUUACUUUUUGUGAACCUAAAAAUUAGGAUACAUUAAUCUGUACAGAAACAUCCUCUACGCUUGCACAGUUAAAUUAGGUAUGGCUCGGGUGACUCCUCCUCCAAGAAAACAUCUCUUGGUCUCAUCCCCAGGAGCACAAGUGCUGAACCCAUCAUUCUGUGGUUAACUUAAAUCAAAGAGAUGAGGAAAAGAAAUAAUAAUUAACUCAUUUCUUAGAGCUGCAAUGCUAAAUCUGGCUGUGCUGAAUCAACACGGCUAGAACUAGGAGAACCUGGAGACUGAAAUCUGACAUUCAGGUCAGGUGGGACUGAAUCUGAUUUCUGUUGCGUUGACAACCCAGAAUCUGGUUUUGGCUGUGGUGAUGAUCCUUGCCAUGAAGGUCGGGAUUCAUGUCCAGAUCUUGGGGCCACCUUUUCCUCGUUCCCAGAAUUUGGUAGUGCACCACUGGAAUUUAUUGCAGAGGAAUUCUCUGAAGGCUUUGGAUUUUUUGAGUUCAGGCUGUUUUCUGUUGAUGCAUGGACAAAGUUAGUAUUAGUAGUAGAGACUCUGUCAGUCAGGGAUGGCCGAAAGUUAGUCCCAAGCCUGGCAGCUCCAACUAGUUUUCCCAUCUGGGCUGGAAGACUAAACCUGUAGGCGCCAUUGAAUCCAUUCAUGCCAGGGUGAACUUGAUGGCUCUGAUGAAUCUGAAAGGGAGGCCUUGGCCUGGUCAUACUUGUGUUGCUGUUGAGGAUGUUAAAACCCCCAUGAGAGUUAAAUCCCUCAACUGCUGCUUCUCUUUCCAUGCAAGGUUCAGAUUUACUAGCAGCCGCAUGGGGUGCAGAUGUUGAGGCAGAUAGAGAAAGAUCAUUGGUUAAUUGUGGUGCCUCUGAGGCAGAGUGAAUUUGAGGUAUAUCAUUCUUGCUCGCAUUAUUUUCAGGUUUUUCUGACAGUUUUUCUCUC